UUACGGUCAAAUCACGCUUAAACACCGGUUCUCGUACGAUCACCGAAGUUAAGCAGCGUAGAGCCAGGUCAGUACUUAGAUGGGGGACCGCUUGGGAACACCUGGUACUGUAAG
rnacentral:rRNA from 1 species